rnacentral:rRNA from 1 species
AUUGAACGCUGGCGGCAUGCUUUACACAUGCAAGUCGAACGGUAACAGGCCGCAAGGUGCUGACGAGUGGCGAACGGGUGAGUAAUGCAUCGGAACGUGCCCAGUCGUGGGGGAUAACUACUCGAAAGAGUAGCUAAUACCGCAUACGAUCUAUGGAUGAAAGCGGGGGACCGUAGGGCCUCGCGCGAUUGGAUCGGCCGAUGUCAGAUUAGGUAGUUGGUGGGGUAAAGGCUCACCAAGCCAACGAUCUGUAGCUGGCCUGAGAGGACAACCAGCCACACUGGGACUGAGACACGGCCCAGACUCCUACGGGAGGCAGCAGUGGGGAAUUUUGGACAAUGGGCGCAAGCCUGAUCCAGCAAUGCCGCGUGCAGGAAGAAGGCCUUCGGGUUGUAAACUGCUUUUGUACGGAACGAAACGGCUCUGGUUAAUACCCGGGGCUAAUGACGGUACCGUAAGAAUAAGCACCGGCUAACUACGUG